rnacentral:lncRNA from 1 species
UUAACAGAAAAGUUAAGACACAGAAGAUAUUUAUAUUACAUAAAUCUCACAAAGGACUAAUAACCAGAAUAUGCAAAGAAUUCAUACAAAUCAAUAAGAAAAAGACAUACAACCCAAUCCAAAAAUGGGCAAAAGACUUGAACAGACACUUCGUAAAAGAGAUUUCCAAAUGGCCAAUGAACACAUGAAAAGAUGCUCAAUUUCAUUACUCACCAGGGAAAUGCAAAUUAAUACCACAAUGAGAUACCACUACACACCACCAGAAUGGCUAAAAUGAAAAAGACAAAUAAGGUCAAGUGUUGGCUAGAACACAGAGCAAUCAGGAUUCUAAUACAUUGGAAGUAGGAAUGUAAAUUGGUUUACACAUUUUGGGAAACUUGUGAUGUCUAUUCAAGUUGAUCAUACACAUACCUUAUGAUUCAAUAAUUCCAUUUCUAAGUAUAGAUAGAUAGGAAUAUGUAUAUAUAGUCCCAAAUAGACAUGUACAAGAAUUUUCACAGCAGCACUUUUUAUAACAGCCUCAAACUGCAAAUAACCCAAAUGCCAUCAACAACUGAAUAAGUAGCAGUAUACUCACAUAAUGGAAUACUAUAAUGAAAAUAAACAAAGUUUAACAACAUGUAACAAUAUGGAUGAAUCUCACUGGCACAAUGUUGAACAGCUCAACAUAAAAAAGCUCAUACUGUAAUGAUUCUAUUUACAUGAAGUUCAAAAUGGGUAACACUAAUCUAUGGUAUUAACAAUGAGAUUGGUUACCUGGGGUGGGGAGAAGGGCUAGCUAUUAGAAGGGAGGCAUGAAAGAGAUUUUGGGGUUCUGGCAAUACUGUGUUUCCUCAUCUAGGUGCUGGUAUCACAUGGUGUGUUCACUUCGAAAAUGCAGACUUGCACACGUAGAAUUUGCGUACAUGUUUAUAUUAUUUUCAGUAAGACUUAUUAAUAUAAAACAAAAACAAAACCUUUGGGUUUGUGACUCCUGUAGACAAGUGGCUGGGAAGAUAACAAAGGAUAACAGAUUAGGCUAUGCCAGGAUCAGCCAAGAUGCAGGCCAGUUCUAUACUUCAGGCAGCUUGCCCAAUCUCUAGGGCAGAAGACUAGUCUAGUAUCUAAGGCAACAGCACAUGGCAGAAAAGGGGAGGGUUUCGCUUUCUUCAUCUACUCUUUCUCCAUACUUCAUUCCAGGAGAUUUUCUGUAUAAUUCUAAGGAGUAAGCUGAAAGCUAAAAAGCAAAAGGGAGCUUCAUAAAUGAGAAUAUGCACAAUAUUUCAAGUAUAUUGAAUGAUCUAGAAAAUUUUCAAAAGGUAGGGAUAAUCAGAGUCAAAUAAGGAGAAUGCAGGUUGUUCACCAAAUUAGUUCAGGGUUAAAAGUUUCAUUUGAUUAUGAGUUCAAUGGGGGUAGAAAAUUAUUUGACAGCAGUCUUUUGGGCUGCUUUUAGAUACCCUAAGGAGAAAACAGAGUACAACUUCGGGGAGGGGUGACUGCUCAAUUUCUCACCAUAGCCUUUUUGUCAUAUAGCUUGUUGCUAUGGAGAAGGCCGUGAAGGCAGCAACUAAAGGAAAUAAAGGAUCUGGCAGGAGUAAGCACAGGGAUAGUAGAUUAAACAAAAAUUUCUUGAGCAAUUAGUGAGUAGCAGGGCCUAUAAAUGACAUACUUUUCUUGUUUUUCCUAACCCCUACCCCUUUGAAAGUACAUGGGCUUGGUUUACCACUAUAAUUUAAUUGAAAUACAGAGAAGCCUGAAUGGGCCUAACAAAGCUUAAGCCUGGCAGACAAAACACAAGGCCACUUAGCAAUGCUGCCUAAUGCCAGGAGGAAUCAGCUACCUACCCACCCUAUCCUGGUGAAAUUAUCUCCAGCUGCCUAAAUUAUAAAGUUGAUGCCCUGUGAUUUCUUUGUUCUGUAAAGCCUGAGGGAGAUGGAAUAAUGAGGUAUCAGAAGAGGUGGAGAACAGCCCCUUGUUUCAGAGUAGUCAGAGAGAGAGAGAGCGAGUUAAAGAGAGAAAUGGAGUUAGUUCUCACCGGUAUCAUUAAGAGGCAGCAGCAGCCUCAGUAGCAAUAGCUUGGGAGCAAAGCUCUGCUUGAACUAGUCUGAAACUACUGCUGUGGGAGAAAAGGCUAGUUGCCAACUUUGUUAAUAGCUUCUGCCUAUCAUUGUUACAGCAGCUUUAUCAAAUAGGGCAGGGCCAGGACCUGUUUUUAGCAGUGUAAGCACUAAGACCAGAGGGCUCAACAUCUUCCAGCAGAUUUCAUCACAACCAAUGACUAACAAAGACAAGUCCCUCUUCUAUUCCACAUAAAUGAUUACAGAGUUGUAAAUAUCAGAGCUAGAAGGAUCAUAGAGAUCAUGUAGUCCAACCUCCUCAUUUUACAAAUAAGGAAAUUAAGGCCCAGAUAGUCAAACGACCUUAUUAACAGAGCAAGAAAACACCAAGGCUCUCAAAUAGGACUUUUUCCCCUUUGAAUCACACUUCAAAGCUAAGUUAGUUAGGGCUAAUGAUUAAUCCCAGGCAAUACCAGUAAGAUAUUUAUUGCCUAGGUAUCACUCAACUAAAUUCCUAAGUAUCAGGAUGAUUUUGAUAACAAAAUAGGUCUGGGUUUUGUUACUGAAAUAUAAAAAGAAUCUCAUUUGCAAACAACCUUACCUAUCUGGCAAGCUCACAGCCUAGUCACCUAUAUAUACUGCCUGACUGUGCUUUGCUUGGGGGAGGGAGGAGGUGUGUGAGCAUGCACAAAGGGAGACUCUCUUUCUCCCCUGGAGAUUAGUCUAUUUUGCCAUUUGCAAAAUGAAACUCAAAAAAGCCGGUGACUGAAAUUUUUCCCAAGGUCUUCAGGAUUUAAAUGUAUGACAGUGGACAUAUAACACAAUCCACAAAGGUAUAUAAACACGUCACUGCCCUAAAGUAUCCUCUGGGAGUAAGCUGCUAGGUGGGAAUGUGUUGGCUGUUGUUUUUGGUGGGGGAGGGGUGGGAGAAAGUAGGUACUGAUUUCCCUAAUGUUUCCUUUGUGUGGCUGCUGUUGCCAUGUGGUGGUCUGUUGCUAUGAAGAUUUGUGGUGUCAGACAAUGGCUGCUAGGCUCUUUAUGACUGUGCUAUUGGUAGAGCUAUUUCUUCGGGAUUCAAGCUAGUAUGCAACUGGCUAAACAGUGGAGAAAGCUUGGUUGUUACUGUGCCCCAUCUCUCCUCUAGGGUAGCCAACAAGAUGUAAGCAGAAGUCUUAUGGUGUGGCUUCUGGGAAACCUCUCCAAAGAUCUUCAGAGAAUGAUCUUUGCAGGAAAUCUCUGUUACCUGAAGAUGAAAAGGAAUGUGAACCAACUCUGAUCCCAAUUCAGACCUUCGCCAACUGACAGUUCAGGUUCAUAAAUUUUCAAAACAGAAUAGAUUCCGUUCUCAGGGGCAAGUGGAACAUGCAAGAAGUCUGGAUGCCUUGGGCAACAGCAACCUACAGUGAGCCAACUGCUUAGUGGAUGCCUGAAAACAAGACCAUCUAAACAUUUCCUAUAAAAUCUGUACCAAGUGACAGAUACAUGAAGCGGUGUGGGUGGCUGGGCAAUGAGGCAAUCAGUGGGAAGAGUGAACUGGCUGUACCUAUAGGUGUUAAAAAAGGCAAGAGCUGCAUAUGCAAUGAGCCAACAUUAAGUGAAUUUAAGAGUGACUAUUCUCCAUCCUCUUGACUCCCUCAGCUGCCCUUUUAUUAAUUUUUCUCUUCAGGCCUGACCUCAAAUUUAAUUUAUAAUCUAACUCUCCCAUAUAAAAUAUGGAGAGUACAGAUACAGUUUGAAUUACCUGGCCAAUACCUAUCACAUGACUGCAUAUCAUAAGUACCAGGAUCAACACUGUUGAAUACUAUGAAGGGAAGAAUCUCUAGAAGCUGGGAAAUUUUGCUAAGUCUGCUAAAAUCCUCUGUGUGGGUAUCUCCCGCAGACUGUGGACACUUGAGACUCUAAUAACCACUUGGUAAUAUUUACAACAAUAAGUCCCUGGUGGCUCCCCUGCAGAAGCAGGUUGAGAAGGGAGGGGAAAGCCACAUA